AAAAGCUCAAAUUUGAAAUCUGGUACUUUCAGUGCCCGAGUUGUAAUUUGUAGAAUUUGUCUUUGAUUAGGUCCUUGUCUAUGUUCCUUGGAACAGGACGUCAUAGAGGGUGAGAAUCCCGUUUGGCGAGGAUACCUUUUCUCUGUAAGACUUUUUCGAAGAGUCGAGUUGUUUGGGAAUGCAGCUCAAAGUGGGUGGUAAAUUCCAUCUAAAGCUAAAUAUUGGCGAGAGACCGAUAGCGAACAAGUACAGUGAUGGAAAGAUGAAAAGAACUUUGAAAAGAGAGUGAAAAAGUACGUGAAAUUGUUGAAAGGGAAGGGCAUUUGAUCAGACAUGGUGUUUUUUGCAUGCACUCGCCUCUCGUGGGCUUGGGCCUCUCAAAAAUUUCACUGGGCCAACAUCAAUUCUGGCAGCAGGAUAAAUCAUUAAGAAUGUAGCUACUUCGGUAGUGUUAUAGCUUUUUGGAAUACUGUUAGCCGGGAUUGAGGACUGCGCUUCGGCAAGGAUGUUGGCAUAAUGGUUAAAUGCCGCCCGUCUUGAACC
rnacentral:rRNA from 1 species